rnacentral:ncRNA from 1 species
CAACCGAUUUGGUCCUGGUCCUUAUAUUAAUUAUUUCUACAUACGAUACAUGCAAGUAUAUAACACAACAGUGAGUACAAGAAACUGCUUUUCUUAAAAGAAUUAGCACUCAGCCAAAAGCAUCAGAUAAAUAAAAAUUGUCCAUGACGCUCAGAAAGCCACAACUGCAGUACCUAACAUUAUACAAUAAGCAAAAGCUUGAUAUAGCUAUAGAAAAGAUAGCCGGUAAAUUAUGUGCCAGCCACCGCGGUUAUACAUAAGGCCUUAAUUAAUUUUUUUUUCACGGUAAAAAGGUGGUUAGAAGACCCUCGUAAAGUAAACUCAAACUUUAGCAGUAAUAAGCUCACAGAACAUUUAUUUUAAGAAACAAAAUCACUUUAUCCAUAUUUUCGAAGCCACUAAAGCUCAGCCAUAAACUGGGAUUAGAUACCCCACUAUACGAGCCGUAAAACCUCAAAACACCUGAGAACUACGAACUAAGGUUUAAAACUCAAAGGACUUGGCGGAUUUUUAGAUCUCCCUGGAGGAGCUUGCUAUCGAACCGAUAACCCACGAAAAACCUCACCAGCGCCUUGAAAAUUCAACUUGUAUACCAUCGUCGUCAGUCUACCUCCCAAGAGAAGUAUACUAAACGGUAAAUUAAACCCAAUACGUCAGAUCGAGGUGCAGUUAAUGGCCUGGGGAUAUGUGAGCUACAAUAUUUUACCAACCCACCCACUUUAUUACCACUUUGGAUGACCCAGUGAAAGAAAAUCAGAAACAGGAUUCAGUAGUAAUAACUACUAGAAACUAGUUAUGAAACAAACUAAGCUCUAAAAUACGCACACAUCGCCCGUCACUCUCGUCGCUCAGAGGAGAAAAGUCGUAACAAAGUAGGCGUAUUGGAAAAUGUGCCUGGAACUCAUUAAUUUUUGUAGUUGAA